CAAGAAACAACAAACUAAAUGAUUCCCUGCCACUCGUUUUAUUUUGUUCCCUGUAACUAUUCCAAUCAACUUUUCCUAUCCACUAAGGAUAAUAUUAAUAAAUAGGCAAUCCAUCUGCACUGCAUAACUAUGGCCAUUAAAAUUUCAUAUUAACGAGUAAAAAUUCAAUUUCAACCACGGAAAAGUUAAACAAUAAUAUUCUCGCACUACUCUAAUUCAAAACCUCAUAACCCAUCAAAGUAAUAAUAAACCGUUGACAUAAUAUCAUUAUGAUCCAUAAAAAUAUCAAGAAAAUUUUUCCAAUUUGCCUCCUACCUGAAGAUCUUGUUGUCCCUCACGUUCUGCACUCACCGCCACAGGUUCUGGUCCUCAACAGUCAGAUCACACAUAAGUUUGUACCCGAUCUUCAACUCAGCAACAUAAGUGGUUCAGAUCCUCAAUUGUCAGAUCACGCAUAGGUUGGUUCUGGAUCUUCGGCUCAGCAACUAGUGACAUGAUUAUUUUUAUUACUUUUAGUCUUUCGUUUUCAGUUUUUCUAGAUUUAGUUGGGGCAUAUCCCAACACUUCUAGUCGGUUUAGAUGCUUAUUUCAGGUAUAGUUAGCUUUUACUUCAAUUUUAGAGUGUGAUUCUCUUUUAUAUUCUA